AACGAACGCUGGCGGCAUGCCUAACACAUGCAAGUCGAACGAGGCCUUCGGGUCUAGUGGCGCACGGGUGCGUAACGCGUGGGAACCUGCCCUUAGGUUCGGAAUAACUCCCCGAAAGGGGUGCUAAUACCGGAUAAUGUCUUCGGACCAAAGAUUUAUCGCCUUUGGAUGGGCCCGCGUUGGAUUAGCUAGUUGGUAGGGUAAAAGCCUACCAAGGCGACGAUCCAUAGCUGGUCUGAGAGGAUGAUCAGCCACACUGGGACUGAGACACAGCCCAGACUCCUACGGGAAGCAGCAGUGGGGAAUAUUGGACAAUGGGCGAAAGCCUGAUCCAGCAAUGCCGCGUGAGUGAUGAAGGCCUUAGGGUUGUAAAGCUCUUUUACCCGGGAUGAUAAUGACAGUACCGGGAGAAUAAGCUCCGGCUAACUCCGUG
rnacentral:rRNA from 1 species